GAUGAACGCUGGCGGCGUGCUUAACACAUGCCAGUCGAACGGGAAUUAUUUUAUUGAAACUUCGGUCGAUUUAAUUUAAUUCUAGUGGCGGACGGGUGAGUAACGCGUGGGUAACCUGCCUUAUACAGGGGGAUAACAGUCAGAAAUGGCUGCUAAUACCGCAUAAGCGCACAGAGCUGCAUGGCUCAGUGCGAAAAACUCCGGUGGUAUAAGAUGGACCCGCGUUGGAUUAGCUGGUUGGUGGGGUAACGGCCCACCAAGGCGACGAUCCAUAGCCGGCCUGAGAGGGUGAACGGCCACAUUGGGACUGAGACACGGCCCAGACUCCUACGGGAGGCAGCAGUGGGGAAUAUUGCACAAUGGGGGAAACCCUGAUGCAGCGACGCCGCGUGAAGGAAGAAGUAUCUCGGUAUGUAAACUUCUAUCAGCAGGGAAGAUAGUGACGGUACCUGACUAAGAAGCCCCGGCUAACUACGUG
rnacentral:rRNA from 1 species